UCCCCCCCUGUAGGCAGGUUAAGGGUUAAAUUUAUAAAAAAAAAUAUACCAAAUGAAAGGUUAUGAUAUUAUGCAUCUAUAUAAAAAAGAAUUAUAUUGAUAUGUUAAUUUUUGAAAAAGUUAUGGCACUUAUAAGUAAAAAAAAUUGAAAAAAUUUCGAAAAUUAGCGAUUUUUAAAUUUGUAAUUUUUUUGGAGGUUUCCCCCAUUUACGGGGAACGAGGGAAUUUUUUUCAAUUUUUAAGGGUAAUGUCUUCGACUAGAUACGAUUUGUGAUCUUUUGACGUAUCAUUGAAAGAAAUCGGUUUGGUGAGAGCUGAGAAAAAGUGGUAACAGACACAAAAAAAAAAAAAAAAUUAACACAU